rnacentral:lncRNA from 1 species
AUUUUGGGAACUUUGAAAGUAAGUAACAAUCUUGACAAAAAAUGUAAACAGAAUCAUAGCUCAUGAAUAUGCUAUUUGCAUUCUACUAUAUAUUAGCUGCAUGAUAGGCUAUAAAAUAAGUUAAAAAGAGGCAGUUAUGAGGUGACAGUUGUCACAUUCAAGUCCUUCUUACUUGUAUCCAUUACAAACCAGAUUAACUACCAUACCUGUAAGUUUUCAUCAUCCGCAACUGAUUGUCAGAGUGCUUAGGGAAAACAACAGCUCUCAAAAAUUCAAAUAUGAAGCCUAUUGUAUUUGCAUAACCCGCAGUCUUAGGAUUGCUAUUUGGCGUUUCAAACUAAAUUCUGGCCACCAAGGGCUCCACAUUCCUUCAGCCAGUCUGGGAUA